rnacentral:lncRNA from 1 species
AGUGUCUCCCAUAUAGCAAGAUCGACGUCCAUGGCUUUCAGGUCCCAAUCAGAUGUACAUAUAUAUACAGAUAUAUAUAUAUAUACCUUAGGCUUGUAUGUAGGUCGUCCCAAGGUCGACCAGUUGACCUUCCUCAGGAUGCCACCCCUCAGUAGUUGAUAACUCCAGGAUACCUAUUUACUGCUAGGUGAACAGAAGAAUUAAGCGAAAGCAAAUGUGCCCAAACAUUUCUGUUGCACUCGGGAUCCCUGAUUGUGAGUCCUUGUUGGUGCUGUGUAUUUCAGUGACUCACGGAGAUUGCUGCAAGGCGGCCAAAUGCUUCUCUCCGGCCUCACCUUGUCCUACUUCCUGGGCCAAGCCUCAAGGACUAAUUAAAACAGCUUUCAUUCAACAUGGAAAACAAAAGGUAGAUUAAAAAAAAACGGAGUACUCAUAGAAUCGUUUUGAAACACAUCUCAAAGGGAUAGAGUAGCUUAGGCUAUUUCUACCCCCCUUCGUUCUGACAUUAUCGUGCCGUUGAUGCAUUUGUCAUGCGGCCCCUAUAUACGUAUUAUUCGGCCGGCAGUAUAAGCUGGAGGGUGAGGGGGGAGAGCCUUACUUUUUGCUGUAGUGAUCUCUAUCCGCCCAUUAGUUACUAGCAUUAGUGGUAAUGUGUAGUCUCUCAUCUCCCAACGUGUGCAGUAUUGCCUGGCUAAAAGCUCGUAAUGUUAUAACACCAAGUUUAAGCUCGAGGUUGUAGCCAGCGCGAAGCAACAUGAUAAUAGGGAAGCUGGGCUUCAAAAUCACUUCCAAUACAUUCGUGAUGAUUCAUAAUACAAAAUAAAUUUUCCACAAGAUAUCCAUCUUGUAAAAUAUGGGUGAGUCUUCAGCGGAGGUGCGUCUUAUGCGCCGACAAAUACGGCCAAUAUUUGUAUACAAUACUUUGUUAUCCUCGUCCAUGUACCCGAGGACCCUGCAGGCCUGCACACGUCACCUCCCUCAUACUGCCUUGGAGUGAUAUAUCAGUUUUGCACCAAGAUUGUAAACUUUUGUUAAAUUGUUUGAAUAUCUCUUGCAAAUUGUCUAUAUACCUAGUAAUAAAAGUAUUUGUGUGUACGUCUGGUAACAUACUACAUGUGUAAAGGAAGAAAUAUAUAUGUUUAUCACUCAGAAUGUUUAGUGAAUAGCUUGAGCUACCUCAUCCCUUUGUGUAUAUUUUAUCUCAAUAAACUUAUUUCAAUUUCAAUUCAUACUGCCUCACCCUCCCUCAAACCACAAAUUGCGUGAAGCAAAACAACCCCCGAGUUGUGUGUGUACUCAGUAAAAGAGUUGUAGCCAAAUAUUGUCUUCAUAAAUAUUAUUACAGAUUCAGUACAGAUAUGAUCUGUUUAUGUAUUAAUUAAUGAUAAAACACCGCUAACAUCACCAUCCAGAUCAGGUGACGAAGCAUCUAAAGAAUACAAUUGACACUGAUAAACUAUGACUUUGUUAUCACUUUGGUUGGCAUGAGCAGGUACAGAUGUAAUCUGGCGAGGACCGUGGGCGUGCAAGGGCUAGAGGUCCCUGCCAGGGACGAGGGAGAGUUGCUGUUGUUGUUUUAGAUUCAGCUACUCAGAACAAAAAGUUACAAGUAGCACGGGCUAUGGUGAGCCCGUAGUAGAUUUACCUGGCACAGGAGCGAGGUUGUAACUGGGAUGCGAGGGAGAGGACUGGUGGAGACAAAACCCCCAUGAUGCCCCUGUAUCUUAGGCUUGUAUGUUACGAAUUUUGGCCCAUCCUGGGAGAUGGGGAUCUCAGCAUCACGUGCUCUGUGAUCCUUCAUGUAUCUUGAGGUUAUAUCUUGAGAUGAUUUCGGGGCUUUUUAGUGUCCCCGCGGCCCGGUCUUCGACCAGGCCUCCACCCCCAGGAAGCAGCCCGUGACAGCUGACUAACACCCAGGUACCUAUUUUACUGCUAGGUAACAGGGGCAUAGGGUGAAAGAAACUCUGCCCAUUGUUUCUCCCCGGCGCCCGGGAUCGAACCCGGGACCACAGGAACCCGAACCCGGGACCACAUGUAGUUCAGGGUAGCCACAUAAACACCCACGUUGAAGAAGAAUAACGAAAAGAGAGGCAUCUCUGAGGGAAGAUGACAGACGUUUUGCCAGGAGAACGCCAUUUGACUGCAUCAUCAAAAAGGCUUAAGAACGACUGCAGGAUAGGUGACCAUGGGCAAAUUGGCAAUGUUAUUACAUUUUACGUUUGAUCGUAGCCCAAAUGCCGUGAAGUGAUCGAUAAUGACCACGGUGUACCUGGAGAUAGACGCUCUAAAACUGAAUCACAUCUCCCGCCAGGCAUAUAGAAUUACUGAAGCAUUGAAGAGGGACGUCAAGGAUACGGUGCGUCAGACAUCUUGAAGGACUGACUCUUAAGUGUCUUACGUCAGACAAGAAUGAGUGUUCUGCUUCAAGGAAUGAGUUUAAAGUGCUGAGCUCCUGUAAGAAGAGUGAGGGGAAAUGAAAAGACAAAUAAGUGCUAGCUAGCCGGCGGUUGCUGGCAAGUGCACCUCUCAGUACAAUUGGGCUCGUUUUCGACUCGCAGUCGGGAAUCCCGGGUUCGAAUCCCGGCCGUGACAGAUAUGCCUAGGCACAUUUCCUAUCGCCUAAUGCUUUUGUUCACCUACCAGUAAAUAGGUACCAGGAAAGUAGCCAACUGUUGUGGGGUUAAAUCCUGGGGACGGUUGGAGGGGGCCUUACGGCUGAGUGGGCAGCGCUCGGGGUUCCUAGACCUAAGGGUUCGGGUUCGAUCCCCCUGCGGAGGCGAAAUAAAUGGAGUUUAUUUCACCCUGAUGCCCCUAUUCACCUAGCAGUAAAUAGGUACCUGGGAGUUAGACAGCUGCUAUGGGCUGCUUCCUGGGGAUGUGUGUCUGUGAAAAUUAGGAUUAAGGACUUGUCCUGUUGAUCAUUUAUAUGGACUAGUAAGUCAUUCACUAUGCAGACACACGACUGUAUAAUGGUCCAGGACGGACCGAAACGUAGCCGUUUCUCCAUCUUCUGAUGUGUGGUUUGGUCAUCAAAUCAUUCACUAUUUUCUGUGGAGGGUGAAAACAUAAUUGUCCAUUUGCUGUUACAGAGGGAGUCAGGAUUGUCCAUUUUCAAUGACGGCGUAAAGGAGUGUCCACUUUCUAUGACCGAAGGAACAUAGAAUGUUCAUUUUCUAUGUGACGUUUUCUGCGAGGGAAGGAUAGAGCAAAGGAUACCGGGAGCAGGUGGGGGAUGGCAGGUGAAAAGGCAUCCUAGUGGAGGGUAGACGCGCGCGGUGCCUACCAUCUUCCCGCCACACCUACACCUUCAGCUUGUGUCUGUGUGGUGUUUCCCCGCCGUGUUUAUACCUUGGUGCCAUCCAGUGACAUCCUACACCUAGGCCUCCAGUGACAUCCUACACCUGAGCCUCCAGGGAGAUCCUACACCUCAGCCUCCAGACGUAGCUCCUCUUCACCGUGUGGAGAGUCACAGCAGUUCGCCCUCAGGUGCAGUAAGACGACUCUCACCAGCUCCAGGGACGACUUAGCUAAACCCGGCCUGAGGUGGCCCAGGCCACCGUCCUUGUUGGAGUUAGCCACCCAGAUCUUCUUAUACAUCAGGAUAGAAUGUUGUAACCCUGAGUGCUGCAAAGUCCUCCGAGCACUCUGCCGGGCAUUAGAGAAAGCAGCUCAGUCUUGAGGGCCGCACGAUCCCGGAUCGAGCCGAACGUUCAGGCAGUUUAGAGGUCAGCGUUCUUAAUCCGAUAGCUGACAAAUGUCAACACAGGCGCCGGCUAACGUUCUCCACUACCACCACCAGCAGAGUCAAGCACACACCCGAUGAUAACUACUGAUCAAACAGCACAGUGACUGCUAACUCUAACACGACACAUGUAAAGAACAAUAAAGUUUUCCUAUUUGGAGACAAAAGAGCAUCACCUUGAUACUUUCUCCCCAGAAGGUUGCCUCAGAGGCUGAACUGUUGCCAGAACUGACAUAAAUAUUGGUGUCUUCAGCCUGGUGUGCUCGGCGACAGGGCAAAGCCAAAGCAACAACAUUAAGACCUUGUGUAUCCUCUAUAAUCAUUUUGCGCACCUAUCACAGAUGACUGAUGACAGUUGUGAAUGCUACAACUAUUGAUACAACAAGAACAACAACUAUACCACACAGGUGAACGACGUGAGAAUAGCUUUUUAAAUCUGAAUUGAAUGUGAACUACAACACAGAAAAAAACGCUAUCGUAAGAGCCUGCGAGCCCGAACGUUCAGGGGAAAGAUAGCGGGCGUGGGACAUCCGCUGUAUACGUGACUCGUGCGUGACUUG